rnacentral:rRNA from 1 species
UAAUACAUGCAAGUCGAGCGAACAGAAGGGAGCUUGCUCCCGGAUGUUAGCGGCGGACGGGUGAGUAACACGUGGGUAACCUGCCUGUAAGACUGGGAUAACUCCGGGAAACCGGAGCUAAUACCGGAUAGUUCCUUGAACCGCAUGGUUCAAGGAUGAAAGACGGUUUCGGCUGUCACUUACAGAUGGACCCGCGGCGCAUUAGCUAGUUGGUGGGGUAAUGGCUCACCAAGGCGACGAUGCGUAGCCGACCUGAGAGGGUGAUCGGCCACACUGGGACUGAGACACGGCCCAGACUCCUACGGGAGGCAGCAGUAGGGAAUCUUCCGCAAUGGACGAAAGUCUGACGGAGCAACGCCGCGUGAGUGAUGAAGGUUUUCGGAUCGUAAAGCUCUGUUGUUAGGGAAGAACAAGUGCGAGAGAACUGCUCGCAC